rnacentral:lncRNA from 12 species
UACUGUAUUGCAGGGGCACCUGCGUGGCUCAGUCAGUCAAGCACCUGCCUUUGGCUCAGGUUGGGGUCUCAGGCUCCUGGGAUGGAGCCGCUUGGCAGGUUUCCUGCUUCUCCCUCUCCCUCUGCUCCUUCUCCCUGCCCUCCUCCCCCCGGCUCCUCUGUCUUACAUAAAUAAAUAUCUUUUAAAAAACAAUACUGUGAUGCAUAUUUGAAAGGUGCUAAGAAAACAGAUCUUAAAAGUUCUUAUCACUAAAAAAAAAAUCUAACUAUGUAAGGUGACAGAUGUUAACUAGACUUAUUGUGGUGAUUACUUUGCAAUAUAUAUCAAAUUAUGAUUUGUAUGCCUGAAAUUAAUAUAAUAAUAUUACCUGUCAAUUAAGUCUUGAUUUAAAAAAUAAUUUUAAAAAGAGAAAUUACAACACGGCCUGAGGGAUGACCAUGUGAGGACGCGGUGAGAAAGCGGUCAUCUGCAAGCCAAGGAGAGAGACCUCAGAAGAAACUAAACCUGCUGACAUCUUAGUCUUGGCCUUCUAACCUGCAGAACUGUGAGAUAAUAAACUUGUUUAAGCCAUCCGUCCUGAGGCAUUUGUCACGGCAGCUCUAGAGGACUAACACAGUGGUCCUUCCAGGUGUCUGCAAAUGGAUCAGUAUAUGUGACCGGGGCUGGUGGUCCUUUCUGUUCAAGCCACGAUAUUCACCACAUUGUGCCCAGGGAAAGUGACCCUCCCUAAGCACACCGGAUCUGUCACCACAUUCUGAACACAUAGUGACCAGAGAUAUCUGGACACAGCCUCCCUGAUAGCACAUUUAUUCCCUCUAGAUGCGGAGGAGGGUGGCAUUUUACACAGUGAAGAAGGCCCGAAUUCGACAACCGUGCCCUUCACAUAUGCUCUGUCUGAAGAAAGCCUUACUUUCGUGUCAAGAUCCUAUGGUGUAACCCAUGUGGAAAGGACAGACACAACUACCUGUCUCCAGCUGAAUUAACCAGGAAAUGUUGGCCAGGAGAAAGGCAGCCAGAUGGAAGUGGGGAGCAACAGGCUCUGAAGGGGCUUGACUCAAACCUCCACUCAACAGGGGUCCUCAGGCUGAAUGGACACAAGCUGGUCCACAUAGAGGCAGGAGUGCUGGGUGUACUCGGGUGGGAAACCCCCUCUACCAAUGGCAUAUUCCAUGAAUGGUGACCUGAUGUCCCAGAGCACACAGCAGGUAAGACAUAGUAAGGCCUCCAGGAACGCUCCAUUAGUCAGUCUUCUUACAACAGGCAGCAAUUGGUAUAGAUAAGGAAGAGCCAACUUUUAACCUCUAUCAACACCCUUGUUGGGAAUGGCUCUUGCCUCAACUGGCUUAAGGUGACAGCAUGAGCAUUGAGAGGCCAAUCUACUCCACUAGCUGAUUGAUGGCACAAAAGUGUUGGUGUUGGUAAUUUGGGAAAUGGUAACAUUAAUGAUUAUCACAACACCCCUAACACUGGGGGUCUUCAAAGCCCCCUUGAGGUUUCGCUAUAGCUUUAGAUAUAUGGAAUAGCAUUUCAUAGCUAUUUCAUUUUCACAAAAAGAGAGGUAAGUAUAAAACCGUUUAGAAAUACUUUAAAGGGCACAUAUUAUGGGGAGGAAGGGGUCUGUAAUUUACUAGCUGUGAGACCUUGAGCUGGUUAUAGUAUCUUCAUGUCUCUGUGUUUUUCACCCGUAAAAUGCAAAUGAUAAUAUACCCCACAGGGUAUGACUAACGGUAGCUCAUAAAUAAUGAGCCUAGAAUUGCUCUAAAUGUGCUAUUUGUGUUUACUCAUUUAAUCCUCACACUCCUAUGAGCAAAGUGCCAAGUUUUCCUCCUUCAAAGAAAGAAAACUAAGGGACAGGGGAGUUAAAUAAUCUGAAUCACUAGUGGAGUAGUAACUAGUCUAGCCAGGAUCCAAGCUCACCUUCUACUAUCUGGCCUUUUACUAACUGGGGAUUUACUAACUGUGGUUAUCAACAACAGAGUAGAGGAUUCUUGGGUGUUUAAUUCACCUUACCUCCUGGAAUCCCUGAUCUUUUCAUUUUUUUGUUUCCUCUCACAACUAUCAUUCCAAAAUUUUUUUCACUUUUAAAAAACCUUACAAAUAUAGGGGAUCCCUGGGUGCCUCAGUGGUUUAGCGCCUGCCUUCAGCCCAGGACAUGAUCCCAGAGUCCCGGGAUCGAGUUCCGCAGCAGGCUCCCUGCAUGGAGCCUGCUUCUCCCUCUGCCUCUCUCUCUGUGUGUGUCUCUCAGGAAUAAAUAAAGUCUUAAAUUUUUUUUUUAAAUUUUA